CAGUAGUAAAACUGAAAAUGGAAAUAAGCAAGAAAAAAGCCAAAGGAAACCCCUGCUCUGAUAGCAAGUGUUCAGGAGGACCUAUGCAGAUAACUGUGUACUGCUGGCUUUGUGAACUCACAUGGAAUCAAUGAUUUUAAGAGAAUAACUGUACUUGAGGACUACAUAGUGAUUCUUCUGAUCUGAAACCAUCGUUCCCAGAAUUCUCCAUUUUGUUUGCUUUUCAGUGAUACUCAAUAUCACUCAGACCACAG